GCCCGGUGCCUCUCAGCUGCGGGGCGGUGUUUUUUAAUAAUGCUUCGCCUCAUGGCACGGUUCCCGAGGUCCCGCUGGAAGGGAAGGGUCGGCGAGUGUCACCCCCGGCUGAAUCGGGAUGGAACUAUUGGCGACCCGGUCAUCCAGGCGUGACCUCUGCUCAUCCAGCGGCAUGGCUUAAAUGGGACACCCUGUCCCUGUAAACUCUUCCAUGCUGUUACCUUUGUUCUUUAUUCCUCUUAUUUACUUAAUGUGCUGCCAUUCAAUUAGACUGUUUGUGGACUUCAGCUCGU